UCUCCGUAGGUGAACCUGCGGAGGGAUCAUAACAGAGUUCAUGCCCUACCGGGUAGAUCUCCCACCCUAUGUUAUUAUUACUUUGUUGCUUUGGCGGGCCGUUAGGCUCCGGCCCGACUACCGGCCCCGGCUGGUAAGCGCCCGCCAGAGGACCCAAAACCCUGAAUAUUAGUGUCGUCUGAGUACUAUAUAAUAGUUAAAACUUUCAACAACGGAUCUCUUGGUUCUG
rnacentral:misc_RNA from 1 species